AUGGGGGGCAAGGAAACAACUGGGAUUCCCUGAGUAGUGGCGAACGAAACGGGACCAGCCCAGCACGUAGGGUUGCAGGCUUGAAUGCUUGUUGACCGGUUCCGUGUAAAGGAGGGUCUAUCUCUUGCGCAUAUAAGCAUCGUAUACAAGUCCAGCUUGAAAGCGGCCAAAAAUACCCAUAGAGGGUGCCAGGCCCGUUUAUGUACGAUGUUUGUGUAAGAAGGCUAUUAACUCCUAGGAGUCAUGUUGCUUGAUAGUGCAGCAUAAAGUGGGAGGUAAACUCCUUCUAAGGCUAAAUAUUACCAUGAGACCGAUAGCGAACAAGUACCGUGAGGGAAAGUUGAAAAGAACUCUGAAUAGAGAGUAGUAA
rnacentral:rRNA from 1 species